rnacentral:rRNA from 1 species
GACGAACGCUGGCGGCGUGCUUAACACAUGCAAGUCGAACGGAAAGGCCCUGCUUUUGUGGGGUGCUCGAGUGGCGAACGGGUGAGUAACACGUGAGUAACCUGCCCUUGACUUUGGGAUAACUUCAGGAAACUGGGGCUAAUACCGGAUAGGAGCUCCUGCUGCAUGGUGGGGGUUGGAAAGUUUCGGCGGUUGGGGAUGGACUCGCGGCUUAUCAGCUUGUUGGUGGGGUAGUGGCUUACCAAGGCUUUGACGGGUAGCCGGCCUGAGAGGGUGACCGGCCACAUGGGGACUGAGAUACGGCCCAGACUCCUACGGGAGGCAGCAGUGGGGAAUAUGGCACAAUGGGCGGAAGCCUGAUGCAGCAACGCCGCGUGCGGGAUGACGGCCUUCGGGUGGUAAACCGCUUUCGCCUGUGACGAAGCGUGAGUGACGGUAAUGGGGAAAGAAGCACCGGCUAACUACGU